UGUUCAGAAUAAAAAAGAUUUUUCAAAGUCAAAGCGUUUUGAAUGCCAAAAAUCAGCCGAGAUGUUCAUCUG